UACGUAGGGUGCAAGCGUUGUCCGGAAUUAUUGGGCGUAAAGAGCUCGUAGGCGGUUCGUCGCGUCGGCUGUGAAAACCCGGAGCUCAACUCCGGGCCUGCAGUCGAUACGGGCGGACUCGAGUUCGGCAGGGGAGACUGGAAUUCCUGGUGUAGCGGUGAAAUGCGCAGAUAUCAGGAGGAACACCGGUGGCGAAGGCGGGUCUCUGGGCCGAUACUGACGCUGAGGGGCGAAAGCGUGGGGAGCGAACAGG
rnacentral:rRNA from 1 species